rnacentral:rRNA from 1 species
AUUGAACGCUGGCGGCAGGCCUAACACAUGCAAGUCGAACGAGUGGCGGACGGGUGAGUAAUGUAUGGGAAACUGCCUGACGGAGGGGGAUAACUACGGGAAACGGUAGCUAAUACCGCAUACCAUCGGAUGUGCCCAGAUGGGAUUGGCUAGUAGGUGGGGUAACGGCUCACCUAGGCGACGAUCCCUAGCUGGUCUGCGAGGAUGACCAGCCACACUGGAACUGAGACACGGUCCAUACUCCUACGGGAGGAAGGGGGGGGGAAUAUUGCACAAUGGGCGCAAGCCGGAUGCAGCCAUGCCGCGUGUAUGAAGAAGGCCUUCGGGUUGUAAAGUAGUUUCAGCGAGGAGGCGUUACUCGCAGAAGAAGCACCGGCUAACUCCGUGCCAGCAGCCGCGGUAAUUC